rnacentral:rRNA from 1 species
CCUACGGGAGGCAGCAGUGGGGAAUAUUGGGCAAUGGGCGAAAGCCUGACCCAGCGACGCCGCGUGAGGGACGAAGGCCUUCGGGUUGUAAACCUCUUUCAGCAGGGAAGAAGCGAAAGUGACGGUACCUGCAGAAGAAGCACCGGCUAACUACGUGCCAGCAGCCGCGGUAAUACGUAGGGUGCAAGCGUUGUCCGGAAUUAUUGGGCGUAAAGAGCUCGUAGGUGGUUUGCCACGUCGGAUGUGAAAACCUGAGGCUUAACCUCAGGCCUGCAUUCGAUACGGGCAGACUAGAGUGUGGUAGGGGAGACUGGAAUUCCUGGUGUAGCGGUGAAAUGCGCAGAUAUCAGGAGGAACACCGGUGGCGAAGGCGGGUCUCUGGGCCAUAACUGACACUGAGGAGCGAAAGCGUGGGGAGCAAACAGGAUUAGAUACCCUGGUAGUCCACGCCGUAAACGGUGGGCACUAGAUGUGGGGACCUUCCACGGUCUCUGCGUCGCNGCUACGCAUAAGUCGCCCGCCGUCGGGAGGUACGGCCGGCGACGGACGUAAACCUACAAAGGAAGUUAGACGGCGUGAGACGUGCCGACGGACGACGACGAGGGAGUAGG